rnacentral:lncRNA from 1 species
ACUAAAUCCUUAAACCAGCACCUCCUUAAUGAUUAAUAUGUUAGAAAAUCAGAUAGGUAGCAUGUACAGAUUUCAAAAACUUUUUGAUUAUAGCAAAAAAAUGAUCGAGUUAAACCCUUUAACCUCACAUGCAUAAGAUCAUAUCUAAUCCUACCCAAGCUCAGAAGAAAAGACACAUAUAUAAUAUAAAAUUAAAAGUAAGUGUGAGAUCGAAUCUCAAUACCUUAGCAUGGAUAGAAAUUUAUCGCAACCAAUGAUCACAGGUUCAUAAGUUCUCGAGCUACAUAUGUAUCCGAUCUCUACAAGUAUCCAUCGAGAUCAACCUCGAACUAAUCUUCUCGUAGUAGAUUCUUCUUUUUCAAGUAGAAUCUUAGCUUUGAGAACCUCGAUCAACUCCUUGAUCUAGAUUAUGGGAUCAACUCCAUGAUCUGCAGUCUUUUCUCUAUGUUUCUCACUGAAGAUAGACUGCUCCUCUACUCUUGGCAUGUGGAAGGUGGGACUCCCAACCCUUGGGCAUGGGAAAGAGAAGAAGAAGGAGAGGAGGCAUGGAGAAGGGAGAGGAAGAAUUUUUCUCUCACAAAAUUCAAUUA